CAAAUGGAAAAGGUGGUUGUGGAGCCUAGGUAUCAUCCAGAGUGGCCUCCUCCCAGACAUGGCAUUCAGGUCCUCUUGUUCACAUGACCAUGGGACUAAAUCUACCCAAUGUGAUCAGCAGAUGCUAUUGGGUGAGACUCAUGGGAAAACUCCUCAAGAAGGAGGAUUCACUCAUCACCACGUACAUUUUUCUUUUGCCUCUUCUUUCCAUUUGUAACCUGGACUCGAUGGCUAGUGCUCCAGCAGCCAUCUGGAUGACCAUGAGGCCACCGCAAGGCUGGAAAUCUCAGUGCUGAGGAUGGUGACAAAAAGGAGUUGAACGUUGAGUCAAUCGGAGCUCCUAAGUCCUCUGCAGUCAAGACAUGUGUGUUUCAUUUUCCCAAAUCCUUGCUACAGCAAGCAAAGUGUGAGUCAAGAACAAAUGCUGCCAUUGGUACAAUUAUUGUUAAACUCUAAUAAAUCCCGUGCAUUGUC